ACGAAGGGUGCAAGCGUUAAUCGGAAUUACUGGGCGUAAAGGGUGCGUAGGCGGUUCGUUAAGUCUGUCGUGAAAUCCCCGGGCUCAACCUGGGAAUGGCGAUGGAUACUGGCGAGCUAGAGUGUGUCAGAGGAUGGUGGAAUUCCCGGUGUAGCGGUGAAAUGCGUAGAGAUCGGGAGGAAUGCCAGUGGCGAAGGCGGCUUCCUGGCCUGCUUCUGACGCUGAGACGCGAAAGCUGGGGGAGCGAACGGGA
rnacentral:rRNA from 1 species